CUUUUCAGCAACCGCUAGAAAUACCUCUAGAGCCAGCAAAAUUUCACAAACCAGACAUUCGCAUGUUCACAUCAUACUGAUGAGUUAGAGAGUGUAAAGAAGUCGGAUGAUAAGCGAGAUGAUGGGCGAGAUAAUCGAAGUGCACUUUUUUUAGCUGAUCUGACAAGAUUAUUUACAACAUUACGUUGUUGGCGAAAGAUGUGCCAGUGUCGGUCUAAAUUGGUAGCCUUGGCUUUUUUUGUAUGCUCGUUUGCGGCGUCGGAUUUCCUUGUGAAUAUUUUAGGUAGCCAUGGAGGAUCAGCUGUUCUUAUUGUAACUAUUUUGUGUGGGAUUGUAGUUUCGCAGAAACAUAUAAGUUGACGUGUGAAAUUUGAGGUAUAUAUGUCAAUAUUAUUAUCGCAGCAACUGUUCCAAUCCAAGUUCUGCACAACUUGCCUUAGUUUAGUGUAGUCUCCAUCUUUAUAUCGCCAGAUUUUACGUUUAAAAUUAGACCUAGCUGUUCUAUUGACGUUUAUGACGCAGUAGACUUGACAAUGAAAUCUAAGUUGCUGGUUAAUAAAACGUUCUCCAACCACACUUGAAGAUGUUAUCAUAAAAAGAUCAAGAAUGGAAUUUGAGGUUUCAGUAAAAUGAGUAGGUUCUUUAAUAAUCUGUGUGAGAUUUUACUGUAAAAGAAGGGAGUUCAUUUUGAUCCUGCACUGUGUUUUAUUCAUGUCGAAAUUAAAAUCACCUGUGAUAACAACGUUAUCAAUACCGGCUAGUGAAAUCGAAUCGUUUAUACAUUCUAGAAGUUAAGGACUAGAGUUUGGUGGUCUGUAUAAAGAGCCAGAUAAAAGACGCCUUCCCUUGAUACGUAAUUUAACCCAUAUACAUUCUAGAUCGUCAAUUUGUAGGUCAGGUUGCUCGAUGGCAGAGUUCAGAUUUUAUGUAUACUAGAAUACCUCCAUGGGGAUCGUUUCUUCUAUCCCGUCUGAACGGCUUAUGAUACGAAGGAAAAAAUAAGUUGGCAGUGUCAACUGUUGAGCUGAGCCAAGUUUCAGUAAAGACUAUAAUAUCAAAAUUAUUAAGAUCAGCAUACAGAAUAUCUUUCUUGGGGAGGAACUUCUGAACGUUGUUAUGAACAGUUUUUAGAUUAUGUGUAAAUGCAUCAGUUAUUGAAGAUGGGAAAUAUGUACCCAAAGAUGAGGAGUCGAUAUGAAGGGAGCUGACGCUUCCAGGAUUUUGAUGGACAUUGCCUCCUCUAAGAAGAAGAAUUGCCAGCCAGCAGACUAACUCGAACAUAUUCAUUGGUUGAAGCCCUUUAAUUUUCAUAGUAAGAGAGUAGAACAAACCUAUCCUAAUCCUGUACACUCCUAUGUCAGUGUACAUCAUGUAAUGCCCGAGUGUAAUUAAUAAUUGGAUGAGAAAAAACUAUCCUGCGCCCGACCUGAAAGAAGUGGAAGAUUGAGUGGAGGAAUAUUGAGAAGAGAAGAAUAACAAAAAUUAACAAUACGUUUGGUCAGGUUGAUGUGUUAAAACCUCAUUUGAUAAAUUUAUAUGUUGGGCAUGUCUAAAUGAUACAAAAAGUGAAGCUUAUAAUUAGAUGAUCGCGUAGUAACAUAAUAGUACAAUAAUCUACGCAACAUGGGCUUAGUACUUGGGCACACCGAAAAAUGACAAGCUUUUUCAAAAGCUUGAAGUAUAUAUGCUACUGCGGCUUCAUUGGGCUUAUAAUUUUAUUUUUAUUUUCUCUGUGACAGGCGUUUCUUGUUUGAUUUAUUUUUUUGCAGUACAUAAACAACCAAGCAAUGUAAUAUGGAACUUUUACACCGAUUAUUGCUGCUUCUUCCUGUAUUUGUGCGAUGAUGAUCUGAAAUAUAAACUAUAUGAUGCUAUAUUUUUAAAUCUUUUUCUAUAAAGAAGGAAUGUAUUUGACACUUGUUCAUAGUUUCAUUCCAUCGUGCCUCAAAAAGUUGUAACUCUGUUGCUCUGGUAUCUUCAAUACCGUUGAGUAAUUAAAUUGUAAUUAAAUUGAAUACGUUUUAAUUCCCUUUUAUUAUUGUUUAAUUUGAGUUACAAUGCUAUGAGGUUAAAUUUUAUUUACACUUAAAUGUAUUAUGAAUAUUGCUGGGCCAAGUGUGAGGUUGAGCGCUCCUAAACCGGUUUAAGCCCCCAAUGCUUUGCAUUGACCGUUCCAAGGCGGUGACCCCAGCUUUAUUCUUAUUUGUGUUUAUGUUGUUUUGUAUUGUGCUGUAUUGUGCUGUUUUGUACUGUUUGGGCAAUCGGUCACUUGCCUUAAAUAAAGGACCUACUAAUUGUUUAUAGUAAUAAUUCAAUGCUACUCCAGCAGCUGGAGUUUUACUUCUUUAUAUUGUUAACGGUAUAGUCUGUGUUUGUAAAAAUGUGCAUGAUUUCCGCAAGCUGGAAGAAUACAUGUAUACUAAGAGUGUGUCGAUGGAUUGUAGAUUACAGUUUAGGCACAAGUUAGGAGUGAGUGAUCGUGUAAAUUGUAUUUUUCCUUAAUAAGAGUUUACAAAUAAUGUCGAGUGAAAUGGAUUUUGAAAAGUGCAUCUAAUUGAAUGAUUUUUAUUGAAAUGUGUGUAGUUGCAUUUACAAAAUAAAAUAAAAAUGGAUGUGUGUGUUCACCAAAGUGUUACUAUUCAUUUUUCGAGCUUGUAGAUUUAUUAUUUCGUGGAUGUAUUACCAGCUGACGUGGGCUUUAUUGCACACCACAGUUGAAAGCAGCAUUUGGACAGAUAUGUACAAGAAUUGAGUCUGGAAAGGGCGAGCUCUAAGACAGUACAUCCAGUGUUGCCAUACCACGUGGUCCGUGACGUCAUUUUGGCUAGCACGCCAAGUAGAAAAUUGUAAACAUUCAUCCGCUUAGAAACUUAAAAUCCACGAAUCAUGAGACCAAAAACCAACUCUCAAACUCGGAAAGUAAAGCAAGCGUACCCAGACGAGACGUCAGCAACACGACUGUCCAACGUGGAUGUAAUCUUGGAUCAAACCAAAGAUGAAAUAUUCAAUAAGUGAAAUAUGAAUACAAAAACACACAUAAUGUUUACUCAUCACACAGUCCCAGUCGAAAUGCUGUUGCAUGGUAAACAUUAGGAGUACGUUGGGACAGUGCGAGAAGAAGCGAGAGCAAGUUGUUACCUACUUCUAGACUUGGACUCGACAUAAAAGAAAUUUAAUCAGAUUUACUCUUUGUGUAGAAUUCCUUGUUUUAGAGGGAUUGCAAUCAGGUAGCUUGACUUAAGAUAAAACAGACAUUUAAAUAUAUAUUUAUUCAUGUGCAUUUUGUGUUUUAAUUUGUCAAGUAUUGUUGGUGUACAUUAGAAAUGACAUUAGAUGGUGUUUUAAGACAUUUUUUUCGGACAAUUUGAUAAGGAAUUAUUCUCGUUCGCAUAUAGUAGUACACUGCAAAAAUGAAUAUAAAACGGAUAUUUUGGAAGAUUAAAAAUGUGCUUGUCGGGCGUGCGUGCAUUGUAACGUAAAAACUAGCAAUUUGCCUCGAAUAAUAGACCAAACUACUAUGCGCUUUAUUUUGUCAAAAUAGAGUAAAUAAUAAGAUACUUACGUGGAUUUGAAGUUUCUUAGCGGAUGAAUGUUUACAAUUUUCUACUUGGCGUGCUAGCCAAAAUGACGUCACGGACCACAUGGUACGGCCAUCCUGACAUCGGUUAAUUUGUACUUGCGUGUAAGAAGUAGUUCUGAAGAAUCUUUCUUGUUAAAACGUGUUGAUUUCCAUAAAUAUUUCAAAUAUUAAACAUUAUAGUCGUUAAAGUAUGAUAUUUUAUUUAAAAAUGAUUCAACGUUGUUUAUCAAUAAACUAUUGCAUCAAAAAGUUUAAAAACGUGAGUUGAUCUGGCAUUAUAACGUCAUACCAACGUCAGCGUAUUACGUGACAUUGUAUUGUAUUGUGUAUUUUAAAUAUCUCUAAAAAAAGU